rnacentral:rRNA from 1 species
UACCAGCACCCCGAGUGGUCGGGACGUUUUAUUGGGCCUAAAGCAUCCGUAGCCGGUUCUACGAGUCUUCCGUUAAAUCCAACUGACUUAACAGGUGGGCUGCGGAAGAUACUAUAGAGCUAGGAGGCGGGAGAGGCAAGCGGUACUCGAUGGGUAGGGGUAAAAAUCCGUUGAUCCAUUGAAGACCACCAGUGGCGAAGGCGGCUUGCCAGAACGCGCUCGACGGUGAGGGAUGAAAGCUGGGGGAGCAAACCGGG